rnacentral:rRNA from 1 species
GACGAACGCUGGCGGCGUGCUUAACACAUGCAAGUCGAACGGAAAGGCCCUGAUUUUGUGGGGUGCUCGUGUGGCGAACGGGGGAGUAACACGUGAGGAACCUGCCCCUGACUUUGGGAUAACUUCAGGAAACUGGGGCUAAUAUCGGAUAGGAGCUCCUGCUGCACGGGGGGGGAUGGAAAGUUUCGGCCGUUGUGGAUGGACUCGCGGCUUAUCCGCUUGUUAGUGGGGUAGUUGCUUACCAAGGUUUUGACGGGUAGCCGGCAUGAGAGCGUGGCCGGCCACAUUGGGCCUGCGAUACGGCCCAGACUCCUACGGGACGCAGCAGGCGGAAAUAUUGCACAAUGGGCGGACGCCUGAUGCAGCAGCGCCGCGUGCGGGAUGACGGCCUUCGGGUUGUAACCAGCUUUCGCCUGUGACGAAGCCUGAGUGACGGUAAUGGGUAAAGAAGCACCGGCUAACUACGUG